rnacentral:rRNA from 1 species
UACGAAGGGGGCUAGCGUUGCUCGGAAUCACUGGGCGUAAAGGGCGCGUAGGCGGCCGAUUAAGUCGGGGGUGAAAGCCUGUGGCUCAACCACAGAAUUGCCUCGAUACUGGUUGGCUUGAGACCGGAAGAGGACAGCGGAACUGCGAGUGUAGAGGUGAAAUUCGUAGAUAUUCGCAAGAACACCAGUGGCGAAGGCGGCUGUCUGGUCCGGUUCGUGACGCUGAGGCGCGAAAGCGUGGGGAGCAAACAGG